AUCAAAUCACUUUUAUUGUCACAUCACAUGUGCAGGUACAUUGGUACAGCACAUGUGAGUGAAAUUCUUGUGUGCGAGCUUCACAAGCAACAGCUUCCAAGCAUUUCCACACAGGUCAGUUAAUGCGUCAUUUUCAUAACAUAAUUAGUGAUAUGAAUGUGACAGGUGAGACCUGGAGACUUGGGACCGCCCCUGGUGGGCGGAGCUGGUCUUCGCUCCUUUCAUAAGCGCAGGUGUGGGCAAUUGGGUAUUCCUUUGCAAACCUGAAGCUGCGAGUGCUUGGUCCGAGUUGGGCAAGUUGGUGUUUCUUAACUAUGAAAGUCUGAUACGCGUCCUCCCCUAAACUUCUGUUAGAACGGUGGGAAACAUUGCUCCCGUGAGAACGGUAUAGUGGACUUCAUCGCCACUGACCCACAUUUAUUAGGGUGUGACACGAACUUGUGGACAGAGUACCGAGCUGCUGCUUUGCCAGGUGGAUUUCUGGCUGCGGGCAAAGGACCCGACACAUCAGUGUGUUUUAAUUUGUUUUAAACUGGUGUAAGCCGACAGACUGACUGCUGCGGCUGUCGAUGGUUUUGGGUUUUUGUUUUACUUUUUCUGUAUCAGUAGGCACCACAGAUAUUGAUUCGCAGGCGGUGAAGGCGCUGCAGGGAAAACAAAUCCUUUUUUUGUCUCCCCGCUCUUGCAUGCACAGCGGGGGGCCCGAGUGAAGACGGCACCGAAGAUUUGCCUUUUUUUCUAUAGUGUUUUACCCAUUUGGGGUCAUGUGUGAGUUGCCGUCCAUUUUUAACCUGUGUGCUAUGUCGAUUUGUUUUUAAACUGUUCUCCGCAGCGCUUGUCCUGCCUCACGGGCAAUCGUACAGUCUUAUCGUUUUUUAAUAAGGUAACGUUUUUAAUUGUUUUUAGGUGCUGCUGUUACACUGUUUCUUUUAUUUUGUAUUAAAAAUUAAACUCUUUUAAACUGACUGUGCGCCUACGGCUCUGUCCUAUUUUAAAUAGGUACCUACCACGGGUCACAUAGGUUACAAGCAAGUCUGGCGCUGAACAGAAAUUGUCGCGCUAUGCUCCUUUAUUUAUUGUG
ensembl:lncRNA